rnacentral:rRNA from 1 species
UACAGAGGUCUCAAGCGUUGUUCGGAUUCAUUGGGCGUAAAGGGUGCGUAGGUGGCGGGGUUAGUCAGGUGUGAAAUCUCGGAGCUCAACUCCGAGACUGCACUUGAUACUGCCUUGCUAGAGUACUGGAGAGGAGAUUGGAAUUUACGGUGUAGCAGUGAAAUGCGUAGAUAUCGUAAGGAAGACCAGUGGCGAAGGCGAAUCUCUGGACAGUUACUGACACUGAGGCACGAAGGCCAGGGGAGCAAACGGG